rnacentral:rRNA from 1 species
UUGAUCCUGGCUCAGGAUGAACGCUAGCGGCAGGCUUAAUACAUGCAAGUCGAGGGGCAGCAUGAAGUAGCAAUACUUUGAUGGCGACCGGCAAACGGGUGCAGAACACGUACACAACCUUCCUUUAAGUGGGGAAUAGCCCAGAGAAAUUUGGAUUAAUACCCCGUAACACAACGAAGUGGCAUCACUUUGUUGUUAUAGUUUCGGCGCUUAAUGAUGGGUGUGCGUAUGAUUAGAUAGUUGGCGAGGUAACGGCUCACCAAGUCUACGAUCAUUAGCUGAUGUGAGAGCAUGAUCAGCCACACGGGCACUGAGACACGGGCCCGACUCCUACGGGAGGCAGCAGUAAGGAAUAUUGGUCAAUGGACGCAAGUCUGAACCAGCCAUGCCGCGUGAAGGAUUAAGGUCCUCUGGAUUGUAAACUUCUUUUAUAUGGGACGAAAAAAGGUCUUUCUAGACCCCUUGACGGUACCAUAUGAAUAAGCACCGGCUAACUCCGUGCCAGCAGCCGCGGUAAUACGGAGGGUGCAAGCGUUAUCCGGAUUCACUGGGUUUAAAGGGUGCGUAGGCGGGUAGGUAAGUCAGUGGUGAAAUCCUGGAGCUCAACUCCAGAACUGCCAUUGAUACUAUCUAUCUUGAAUAUUGUGGAGGUAAGCGGAAUAUGUCAUGUAGCGGUGAAAUGCUUAGAUAUGACAUAGAACACCCAUUGCGAAGGCAGCUUACUACGCAUAUAUUGACGCUGAGGCACGAAAGCGUGGGGAUCAAACAGGAUUAGAUACCCUGGUAGUCCACGCCCUAAACUAUGGAUACUCGACAUAUGCGAUACACUGUAUGUGUCUGAGCGAAAGCACUAAGUAUCCCACCUGGGAAGUACGUUCGCAAGAA